rnacentral:snRNA from 1 species
AGCUUUGCGCAGUGGCAGUAUCAUAGCCAAUGAGGUUUAUCCGAGGCACGAUUAUUAUUGCUAAUUAAAAUGUAAAA